ACAGCAGUCGCCACGGUAAUACGGAGGGGGCUAGCGUUGUUCGGAAUUACUGGGCGUAAAGCGCACGUAGGCGGCUUGGUAAGUUAGAGGUGAAAGCCCGGAGCUCAACUCCGGAAUUGCCUUUAAGACUGCCGAGCUAGUAGGUGAGAGAGGUAAGUGGAAUUCCGAGUGUAGAGGUGAAAUUCGUAGAUAUUCGGAAGAACACCAGUGGCGAAGGCGGCUUACUGGCUCAUUCUAGACGCUGAGGUGCGAAAGCGUGGGGAGCAAACAGGAUUAGAUUCCCCCGUAGUCCCUGUCUCUUAUAC
rnacentral:rRNA from 1 species